rnacentral:tRNA from 1 species
GGGGAGCUAGCUCAGUUGGUAAGAGCCACGGUCUUAUAAACCGUAAGCCCUAGCAAGGUAAAGCCGAGUUCGAAUCUCGGGCUCCCUA